rnacentral:lncRNA from 1 species
AAGGCAUCGAGAAACUGCCUUGGCUAAACCAUUCCCACGGCAUCACAGCCAUCGUGAGCCAGCCAACGACUUCCUUUAUAGCCUCGCAGGAGGAAGCUUGUGCCACCCACUGGGCAAGGCACCCAGCCAUCUUCGCUAAUGAGAUUUCUGACCAGACACCCCAAUGGACAAAAGUCCCUGGGAGAGGAAGCAGUCUGGGCCGGUGUCUGCGAUUGCAUCAGGGGCCAGGGAAUGGGUCAGCCUCCUGGUCUAUCUCUGGCGCCCCCUGCUGGGGAAAAGCUGGCUGCACGGAAACAGGAAUGCAUCUCUGGAUUGCAGCGCUCAAACCGGGACAUCUGAGGUAUGAGAAGAAUUCUCUUGACAAAGCGAGAAUUUGGAGGGACGAGGAACAUCCAGUCGUCUGUAAAGUUCCAUCAGUGGGACUUUGAGGACCACCUUUAAAAGGCAGCCAGUCUCCCUGUUCUGCACUUCAACAAAGCCAGUGAAAGACCCUCGGUCAGGAUUGGGAGGAUAAUGGGAAGGACCAGAGACCUUGGCCACGACCUCUGUGCCAGCACCGCCUUCAUUCUGCUCCCCUCAAGGCCAUCGCUUGGCUUCCCGAGGGUCAGGGAGCCUUUACAUAGCAGAGGGAA